rnacentral:rRNA from 1 species
AGCAGCCGCGGUAAUUCCAGCUCCAAUAGCGUAUAUUAAAGUUGCUGCAGUUAAAAAGCUCGUAGUUGAAUUUCGGGACUAAUAUGUCGGUCGUGCCUCGGUACGUACUGGUAUUUUUGGUUUCUCCCUUCUGACGAACCUUGAUGUCAUUAAUUUGGUGUCUUGGGAAAUCAGGACUGUUACUUUGAAAAAAUUAGAGUGUUUAAAGCAGGCUCACGCUUGAAUACAUUAGCAUGAAAUAAUGAAAUAGGACGUUUGAUUCUAUUUUGUUGGUUUCUAGGAUCGACGUAAUGAUUAAUAGGGAUAGUUGGGGGCAUUAGUAUUCAAUUGUCAGAGGUGAAAUUCUUGGAUUUAUUGAGGACUAACUACUGCGAAAGCAUUUGCCAAGGAUGUUUUCAUUAAUCAAGAACGAAAGUUAGGGGAUCGAAGACGAUCAGAUACCGUCGUAGUCUUAACCAUAAACUAUGCCGACUAGGGAUCGGAUGAUGUUAAUUUUUAAUGUACUCAUUCGGCGCCUUAC